rnacentral:rRNA from 1 species
GACGAACGCUGGCGGCGUGCUUAACACAUGCAAGUCGAACGAUGAAGGAGAGCUUGCUCUCCGGAUUAGUGGCGAACGGGUGAGUAACACGUGACUAACCUGCCCCUUUCUCUGGGAUAACGCUCCGAAAGGAGUGCUAAUACCGGAUACGAACUCUGAACACAUGUUCGGAGUUGGAAAGUUUUUCGGAAAGGGAUGGAGUCGCGGCCUAUCAGCUUGUUGGUGAGGUAACGGCUCACCAAGGCGACGACGGGUAGCCGGCCUGAGAGGGCGACCGGCCACACUGGGACUGAGACACGGCCCAGACUCCUACGGGAGGCAGCAGUGGGGAAUAUUGCACAAUGGGCGAAAGCCUGAUGCAGCGACGCCGCGUGAGGGAUGAAGGUCUUCGGAAUGUAAACCUCUUUCAGUAGGGACGAAGCGAAAGUGACGGUACCUAAAGAAGAAGCACCGGCUAACUACGUGCCAGCAGCCGCAGUAA